rnacentral:rRNA from 1 species
AGGAUUAACGCUGGCGGCGUGCCUAACACAUGCAAGUCGAACGAGGUAGCAAUACCUAGUGGCAGACGGGUGAGUAGCGCGUGGUCAACCUACCGUUGAGUGGGGGAUAACUAGCCGAAAGGUUAGCUAAUACCGCAUACGUCUCCGAGGGGCAUCCCUUGGUGAUAAAAGGAGCAAUCCGCUCGAUGACGGGACCGCGUCCCAUUAGCUAGUUGGUGGGGUAACGGCCUACCAAGGCAUCGAUGGGUAGCUGGUUUGAGAGAGCGACCAGCCACACUGGGACUGAGAUACGGCCCAGACUCCUACGGGAGGCAGCAGUGAGGAAUCUUGCGCAAUGGGCGAAAGCCUGACGCAGCAACGCCGCGUGGAGGACGAAUGCUUUCUGAGUUGUAAACUCCUUUCAGCAGGGACGAUUGUGACGGUACCUGCAGAAGAGCACCGGCAACUACGUGCCAGCAGCCGC